UACGUAGGGUGCGAGCGUUGUCCGGAAUUAUUGGGCGUAAAGAGCUUGUAGGCGGUUUGUCGCGUCUGCUGUGAAAAUCCGGGGCUCAACCCCGGACUUGCAGUGGGUACGGGCAGACUAGAGUGUGGUAGGGGAGACUGGAAUUCCUGGUGUAGCGGUGAAAUGCGCAGAUAUCAGGAGGAACACCGGUGGCGAAGGCGGGUCUCUGGGCCGUAACUGACGCUGAGGAGCGAAAGCGUGGGGAGCAAACAGG
rnacentral:rRNA from 1 species